AUGGAGGCCACCGCACUUGUGCUCCUCCCUCACAGCCACAGUGGCCUCACGGCCAGAGCACCGCCUUGCGUGGGUGGAAGCUCCGCGAUGAAGAGGAGCUACGUGAGGAGGAUCAAGCGGAGCUCCACGGUGCGAGGGGUCAUGGCGAGGCCACAAGAGGCGACGCUAGCUCGGGUCCCGGCGCCGGCGCCAACAAGGCCGGUGAGAGAGACGGCCGCGGCCACGACGACGACGAAGACGGUGUACCACGACACCUGGUUCGACAACCUGGCCAUCGGCUACCUCUCCCGGAAACUUCAAGAAGCUUCUGGGAUAAAGAACGGAAAACAUGGCUACCAAGGAUUAAUAGAGGCCGCUGUGGCAAUCUCCAGAAUCUUCAGGCUCGACACGCAGUGCGAGGUUGUGGCCGGCGCUCUCGAACGAGCAAUGCCAAGCUACAUCGUCACAAUGAUAAAGGUGAUGAUGCCACCUUCAAAAUUUUCCAGGGAGUACUUUGCUGCCUUCACCACCAUAUUCUUCCCUUGGCUGGUUGGACCAUGUGAGGUCAGGGAAUCUGAGGUCGAUGGAACGAGAGAGAAGAAUGUGGUGUACAUCCCCAAAUGCAGGUUUCUGGAAAGCACCAACUGUGUCGGUAUGUGCACCAACCUUUGCAAGAUCCCAUCCCAGAAGUUUAUGCAAGAUUCGCUCGGAGUUUCUGUGUACAUGUCACCCAAUUUUGAAGACAUGAGCUGCGAGAUGAUCUUUGGACAGCAACCUCCUGAAGAUGACCCAGCACUGAAGCAGCCCUGCUUCAGCACAAAAUGUAUCGCGAAGCAGGACUAUGGUGUGAGUUGCUAG
rnacentral:rRNA from 1 species